rnacentral:ncRNA from 2 species
CCGUGUCUUCGGGGCGAGGUGCGACUCCUCACCGGCGGUAGAUGCGGCGGAAACCCCGCAUAAGUCCGCGAGCGCUUGCGCAAGCAAGGUCAGCAGAUCUGGUCAGAUGCCAGAACCGACGGUCAUAGUCCGGAUGAAAGAAGACGGCU